CCUUCGAUAGCUCAGUUGGUAGAGCGGUGGACUGUAGUUUGUAUAGAAAGUUGAUAUCCAUAGGUCGCUGGUUCAAAUCCGGCUCGAAGGA
rnacentral:tRNA from 1 species